AGAACUGCCCUUGCCUACCGCCCUACUGCGGGCGCUCCCCUGUCUGGGGGGUGCUUGGCUGGGUGUGGAGAAGGAUCAAUCACAGCUGACUCCUCAGAGGUGACAGCCCCUGCCCCCUUAAAAACAAGAAAAGACCUAGCAGUGUGAAGCCAAACUGCACCCCCAGCCCCGGUGACAUGAGGAAACCGUGAGGCGCUCAGCCUGAGGUUCAUCGUUCAUCUCCUUCCUGCUUGGAAUCAGAAUGUCCUCACUGCUGAGUUUCUCCGUUUUAUGGGAUUACAUUAGUGGACAAAGGAGUAAAUUCAAACUAAAGAGGAAGAAGUCAUGAAAGGGCAGCUGCCACCUCAGGCCAUGGUGGCGGAGACAAAGGCUAUGGGCC
rnacentral:lncRNA from 1 species